GUCAUUUUUUAAGAGGUACAAAAUGUGCCAUUUUUGAGAAUCUAUCUAUGAUCAUAAGGAUUGUGUUAAACCCGUUUGAGCUGGGCACAUCCACCAUGAAAUCCAUGGCUAAAUGGGUCCAUGGAGCAGUAGGUAUAGGUAAUGGUUGUAACAAGCCAGGAGGUGGUUUGUGAGAGGAUUUAGAAACGGCACAUAUUUGACAUGCCCCUACAUAAUCCUUGAUGUCAUUUCUAAGUGUAGGCCACCAGAACCUCCUGGAGAUAGCAGAGAGAGUUUUAUGGACUCCCGGAUGACCU